GACUGGGAGGAGCCUGUGCGGGCAUUGAUUCCUGGCGAAGUGGUGUCUGCUACUCAUGUCCGGGAUUCGGACCGACCCACGCAGGAUGUCACACAGACCAGCCGCCCAGACAGGCCUCAGACAAGUCAGGAUGAGGCUGGGAUUGCAGGUUCUGCUUCUGGAAGCCGACCUCCUGUAAGGCGGCCAUCACAGGGCUUGGGCCACUUACCCAGGAGGCCAACUAAGACACGGCGUCUUGGC